rnacentral:rRNA from 1 species
AUUGAACGCUGGCGGUAUGCUUAACACAUGCAAGUCGAACGGCGGCAUAGUCUGUAGCAAUACAGAUGGGUGGCGAGUGGCGGACGGGUGAGUAACACGUAGGAAUCUGCCCUAUAGAGGGGGAUAACCCGAGGAAACUCGGGCUAAUACCGCAUAGACUCUGAGGAGUAAAGCGGGGGUUAAACCUGGCGCUAUGGGAGGAGCCUGCGUCUGAUUAGCUAGUUGGUAGGGUAAAGGCCUACCAAGGCGACGAUCAGUAGGUGGUCUGAGAGGAUGAUCACCCACACUGGGACUGAGACACGGCCCAGACUCCUACGGGAGGCAGCAGUGGGGAAUAUUGGACAAUGGGGGCAACCCUGAUCCAGCAAUACCGCGUGUGUGAAGAAGGCCUUUGGGUUGUAAAGCACUUUAGGCGGGGAAGAAGAUAAUUUGUUUAAGAGAUGAGUUAUUUGACGGUACCCGCAGAAUAAGCACCGGCUAACUCUGUGCCAGCAGCCGCCGUAA